GUGGAGGUAGCUCAAUCUGGCAGAGCAUCUCGUUGCCAACGAGAAGGUCGCGGGUUCGAUCCCCGUUCUCCGCAC
rnacentral:tRNA from 2 species